rnacentral:misc_RNA from 1 species
AGGGGGGUGGGUGUUGAGGGAGUCUGGGCAGUCCGUGGGGAACCCCCUUUUUCGGUUCGGACUUGGGUAGCGAUCGAGGGAUGGUAUCGGAUAUCGGCACGAGGAAUGACCGACCGUCCGGCCGCCGGGAUUUUCGCCGGAAAACUUUUCCGGCGACUUUUCCGGCGAUCGGUUUUGUUGCCUUUUUCCGAGUUUUCUCAGCAGUUCUCGGACAAAAACUGCUGAAUCGUCGAGGAGAAUGGGCUUGCCUUGCGUGGGCUGCCAUUAGUUCUUCGAGGCGUUAGGGUGGCGGCGGUAUAAAAGUGUCGGAGUUUUUUCAGCAGUUCUCGGACAAAAAUUGCUGAGUGGCCGAGAAGAAUGGGCGUGUCAUGCGUGGGCUGACAUGGAUUCUUCGAGGCCUAGGGGUGGCGGUAUAUAACUUGUUCGCAUGAUAUUACCGAGAUGUCCCCACGGGCAUCUUUUCACCUCGUCGCCGAAGAGAAUGGGCGUGUCAUGGCAUGGGCUGACAUGGAUUCUCCUAGGCCGUUUGGGUGGCGGUAUAGUCGUCUUGCGCACGAAAUACCGAGAUGUCCCCAUGGGCAUCGAUUCCACCCGCCUAGGUUGGAUGGGCGUGCUUCGUUGGAAAGCAUGGAUCCGCCUAGGCUGUCCCGAGUGUGAGCGAGGUGUGAGUGUCGCCCAUGGGCAUCGACACCUUGCGGCUAGGAACUGGAACGAGACGGGUGGCAAAGAUUUCGAGUAGCACUUCAUACUACCGUGGGUUUUUUAAACCUUCCGAGUUUUGUUGAUGUUAUUCCGAGAAUUAGCAAACCGUAACGAAGAUGUUCUUGGCAACCAUCUUUUGAUGGGAGUCCGGCUGUUCGAUAGCCGGCCAAGGGUGAUGAACGAAAUGUGAACCCUUGUCUCGCCUAGGUUGGAUGGGCGUGCUUCGUUGGAAAGCAUGGAUCCGCCUAGGCUGUCCCGAGUGUGAGCGAGGUGUGAGUGUCGCCCAUGGGCAUCGACACCUUGCGGCUAGGAACUGGAACGAGACGGGUGGCAAAGAUUUCGAGUAGCACUUCAUACUACCGUGGGUUUUUUAAACCUUCCGAGUUUUGUUGAUGUUAUUCCGAGAAUUAGCAAACCGUAACGAAGAUGUUCUUGGCAACCAUCUUUUGAUGGGAGUCCGGCUGUUCGAUAGCCGGCCAAGGGUGAUGAACGAAAUGUGAACCCUUGUCUCGCCUAGGUUGGAUGGGCGUGCUUCGUUGGAAAGCAUGGAUCCGCCUAGGCUGUCCCGAGUGUGAGCGAGGUGUGAGUGUCGCCCAUGGGCAUCGACACCUUGCGGCUAGGAACUGGAACGAGACGGGUGGCAAAGAUUUCGAGUAGCACUUCAUACUACCGUGGGUUUUUUAAACCUUCCGAGUUUUGUUGAUGUUAUUCCGAGAAUUAGCAAACCGUAACGAAGAUGUUCUUGGCAACCAUCUUUUGAUGGGAGUCCGGCUGUUCGAAAGCCGGCCAAGGGUGAUGAACGAAAUGUGAACCCUUGUCUCGCCUAGGUUGGAUGGGCGUGCUUCGUUGGAAAGCAUGGAUCCGCCUAGGCUGUCCCGAAGGUAUCUCGCGCUUGUACGGCUUUGGCUCGGAUUCGUCCGUCUUCUUUCUUCUUAGCCGAGUACUUCGGUAGAUUAGUUGGAACGAUUGAUGAUUUUGAGUUAAUUGAACGUUCGGCGUAUGAGUGGUGAUCGGAUAGCCAGUGUUCGUAGGCUCCAUGCUCGCGCAUCGAACUACCUACCACCUAUCCUUCUCAGUUAAUUCACGGGCGAUGUUACGCUCGAUGAUGAGUUCCGGGGCCUGUGUUUCGUACCUA